AGCUGAUCCAGCCAUGCCGCGUGUGUGAAGAAGGUCUUCGGAUUGUAAAGCACUUUAAGUUGGGAGGAAGGGCUGUAAGUUAAUACCUUGCAGUUUUGACGUUACCGACAGAAUAAGCACCGGCUAACUUCGUGCCAGCAGCCGCGGUAAUA
rnacentral:rRNA from 1 species